CCUACGGGAGGCAGCAGUGGGGAAUAUUGGGCAAUGGGCACAAGCCUGACCCAGCAACGCCGCGUGAAGGAAGAAGGCCCUCGGGUUGUAAACUUCUUUUAUCAAGGACGAAACAAAUGACGGUACUUGAUGAAUAAGCCACGGCUAACUACGUGCCAGCAGCCGCGGUAAUACGUAGGGAGCAAGCGUUAUCCGGAUUUAUUGGGUGUAAAGGGUGCGUAGACGGGAAGUCAAGUUGGUUGUGAAAUCCCUCGGCUUAACUGAGGAACUGCAACCAAAACUAACUUUCUUGAGUGCUGGAGAGGAAAGUGGAAUUCCUAGUGUAGCGGUGAAAUGCGUAGAUAUUAGGAGGAACACCAGUGGCGAAGGCGACUUUCUGGACAGUAACUGACGUUGAGGCACGAAAGUGUGGGGAGCAAACAGGAUUAGAUACCCGGGUAGUC
rnacentral:rRNA from 1 species